UACGAAGGGGGCUAGCGUUGCUCGGAAUCACUGGGCGUAAAGGCGCGUAGGCGGCCGUUCAAGUCGGGGGUGAAAGCCUGUGGCUCAACCACAGAAUUGCCUUCGAUACUGUACGGCUCGAGACCGGAAGAGGUGAGUGGAACUGCGAGUGUAGAGGUGAAAUUCGUAGAUAUUCGCAAGAACACCAGUGGCGAAGGCGGCUCACUGGUCCGGUUCUGACGCUGAGGCGCGAAAGCGUGGGGAGCAAACAGG
rnacentral:rRNA from 1 species